rnacentral:sRNA from 1 species
AGGCAAUCAUGUUGGCCGUUAUGAAAAAAUUGACUUACGAUGAAGAAUAUAACUUUGAAAAUGAGGGUGAAGAUGAAGCCAUGUUUGUAGAAUAUAGAAAACAACUGAAGUUACUGUUGGACAGGCUUGCUCAAGUUUCACCAGAGUUACUACUGGCCUCUGUUCGCAGAGUUUUUACUUCUACACUGCAGAAUUGGCAGACUACACGGUUUAUGGAAGUUGAAGUAGCAAUAAGAUUGCUGUAUAUGUUGGCAGAAGCUCUUCCAGUAUCUCAUGGUGCUCACUUCUCAGGUGAUGUUUCAAAAGCUAGUGCUUUGCAGGAUAUGAUGCGAACUGUAAGUAUACUGAAGAUAAUUUUGACCAUAAAUUUCUGUUUUCAGUAUAAGCUAAUGGGAGUUCCUUAUUGUUAGAGCUUAGUAUAUGUUAAUACUGGGGUGUUUUGAUGUUGCAAUAAAUAAGAAGAGGUUUCCUAACUUUUUCCUGCUCUAGCUGGUAACAUCAGGAGUCAGUUCCUAUCAGCAUACAUCUGUGACGUUGGAGUUCUUCGAAACUGUUGUUAGAUAUGAAAAGUUUUUCACAGUUGAACCUCAGCACAUUCCAUGUGUACUAAUGGCUUUCUUAGAUCACAGAGGUCUGCGGCAUUCCAGUGCAAAAGUUCGGAGCAGAACGGCUUACCUGUUUUCUAGAUUUGUCAAAUCUCUCAAUAAGCAAAUGAAUCCUUUCAUUGAGGAUAUUUUGAAUAGAAUACAAGAUUUAUUAGAGCUUUCUCCACCUGAGAAUGGCCACCAGUCCUUACUGAGCAGCGAUGAUCAACUUUUUAUUUAUGAGACAGCUGGAGUGCUGAUUGUUAAUAGUGAAUACCCGGCAGAAAGGAAACAAGCCUUAAUGAGGAAUCUGUUGACUCCACUAAUGGAGAAGUUUAAAAUUCUGUUAGAAAAGUUGAUGCUGGCACAAGAUGAAGAAAGGCAAGCCUCUCUAGCAGACUGUCUCAACCAUGCUGUUGGAUUUGCAAGUCGAACCAGUAAAGCUUUCAGCAACAAACAGACUGUGAAACAAUGUGGCUGUUCCGAAGUUUAUCUGGACUGUUUACAGACAUUCUUGCCAGCCCUCAGUUGUCCCUUACAAAAGGAUAUUCUCAGAAGUGGAGUCCGUACUUUCCUUCAUCGAAUGAUUAUUUGCCUGGAGGAAGAAGUUCUUCCGUUCAUUCCAUCUGCUUCAGAACAUAUGCUCAAAGAUUGUGAAGCAAAAGAUCUCCAGGAGUUCAUUCCUCUUAUCAACCAGAUUACGGCCAAAUUCAAGAUACAGGUAUCCCCGUUUUUA